GGGGAUUGGCUCAGCAGCAGAGUGCUUGCCUAGCAUGCAUGAGGCCCUGGGUUCAAUCCCCAGCACCCCCA
rnacentral:tRNA from 1 species